CCUUCUAUAGCUCAGUUGGUAGAGUGGUGGACUGUGGAAAUUGUGAUGGUUAUCCAUAGGUCGCUGGUUCGAAUCCGGCUCGAAGGA
rfam:Ciona savignyi cont_27790, whole genome shotgun sequence.